rnacentral:rRNA from 1 species
GCAAGUCGAGCGCGAAAGUCCCUUCGGGGGCGAGUAGAGCGGCGAAAGGGUGAGUAAUGCUUGGGCAACUUACCCCUUGGACCGGGAUAGCCACUGGAAACGGUGGGUAAUACCGGAUGGUCUCGCGAACACUGCGGUGGUUGCGAGUAAACGCGGGGGUCCUUAGGGACCUCGCGCCGAGGGAGAGGCCCGAGUUCUACCAGCUUGUUGGUGAGGUAAUGGCUCACCAAGGCGAAGACGGAUAGCCGGACUGAGAGGUUGGCC